rnacentral:rRNA from 1 species
UAGGGAAUCUUCCACAAUGGACGCAAGUCUGAUGGAGCAACGCCGCGUGAGUGAAGAAGGUUUUCGGACCGUAAAGCUCUGUUGUUGGUGAAGAAGGAUAGAGGUAGUAACUGGCCUUUAUUUGACGGUAAUCAACCAGAAAGUCACGGCUAACUACGUGCCAGCAGCCGCGGUAAUACGUAGGUGGCAAGCGUUGUCCGGAUUUAUUGGGCGUAAAGCGAGCGCAGGCGGAAGAAUAAGUCUGAUGUGAAAGCCCUCGGCUUAACCGAGGAAUUGCAUCGGAAACUGUUUUCUUGAGUGCAGAAGAGGAGAGUAGAACUCCACGUGAUAGGUCGGUAGAUGCGUAGAUA